GUGACUGUAUAAGAUGAGACAGACGAAAUACAAAACAGUGAAAACGUUAGCUGUUAUAUUAGUGGGAUUAAUGAUGGUAAAGAUAUUUAUUCCUGAAAUGUAUGUACAAAUGAAUACGAAUACUAUUAGUUACGCAAUGUAACCUAAUACGAUACAUGCAUGAUCAGUACAUUCUAUAUAGAACGUCUCAAAGCGAGCGAAGCUCAAGCCCUGUAUGGAAUUUACUGUCAUUGUAUAUAUCAUGUUUGGUCACUAGCACAAUGUAUAUCGAAUUUAUCUUAUAGACUAUCUAGUAACAUAAAUAAGACAGUAAGUAAAUUAAAUGGUUGUAAACUUUUACAAUUUUAACACAAAUGUCCACAGAAUAUUCAAUUAUUUAAGGUACAUUGAUGGUAUACCGCCAUCUUGGAUUGUACUAACGCACUAACAAUCAGUCUAGGAAUCUGCCCAAAUCUGCAAAUUUGUAGACAGAUGUGCAAUUUUCUUCGUUAGACUGUUUAUUUAUAUAAGGGAAACUUGCUGAUUUAUUGCAUUUUCCGAUAUAUUUAAACAAAUACCAAACAUUUGUGUUUUAGAAUUAUAACUCUUUUAGUAAAGAAAUAUUCUGGUCUGAUAGGACAAUUUUUAAUUUUUACAAGAUCUGUUACAUCAUUUUUUCUUUUUAUCUUCUUAAAACACAUUUUUAAACCUAUCUUCUCACUAUUUAUUUCAAAAUUCUAGCUUAAAGACUUCUUUUUAUGCACAAAAAUGUGUUUUUGGAUGAUCAUUCUAAGCAAAUUUAGGCAAUUUUCAACGACUCAUAGCUUGAAAAAUAGCACGGUGGCCCAUCCUUUUUAUUAUAUUUUUGAAAGAUCAUAGAAAAAUCUUCAUUUUAGCAAAAUUUAAAAAAAAUCUAUCUCGGGGAAACUUAUACCUUAAAGUGAAAAAAAAAAUCAUGGGCUCUAAGACAUGAUUUGUUUACAGCAUGAACAUGUCAUAAUUAUGUAUUUUUACAAUAAAUGAUACUUUGAGACUAACAUCGUUUUUUAUUGUUAAAGUCGAACGUAACUCUACCACUCUCCGUGUAUUGAUUUUAUAAAGUGACAUCCCACAACUAAUAACCGUUUAUUAGAAUAAAACACGCCCAGUUACCAUAAAAAAAAUGAUACACACGAACUCCACGUGCACGUGUACGCUUUUCACCUGAAUAUGACAGCUUUACCGAGUGUGAAUGACUUUGCCUUGCUACACGACGUGUCUCGGUAUUUUGUACAUUCAACAUUCAUGUAUUUAUUUUUGAUGUUUCUGUUAUGAAAUAGUCUUACUGUAAUACAAAAAUAUUAACUCUGUUUUAGGCAUCAACUUUCAAUUUCAUGUUCACCGAUUUGAUCUGAAUUCUCAUUUAUGAUGCAUUUCGUGUGUAUUUUGAACUAAACAGUGUUUAAGGAUUCAUCUCUUAAACUGCCGAUGUUCAUAUAUCCCGCUAUAAACAUAAACAAAAAUAUAAAUUGACAGUCAAACCAGUGCAACCGUAUCAAACGAUUUUUCUAGGUCUGUUUAAUUUAAUUUUAUAUCUAAAAACAUAUGUGUAUCAUCGUUUUUCCUCAUCGUAAGAUUAUUAUAGUCUUUUGGGGCAUCUUCAGUCAAAUAAAUUUAAUUUAUUUUUUAGGCAUAGUGCUUUAGAUAACAAAGUUGAAAGAAACCAAAUUGAACUGAACUUUAAUAACAACAGUCACAAAGAAAGACAGGAAUCUGAAAGGAGUAAAGAGGGGAG
rnacentral:lncRNA from 1 species